rnacentral:lncRNA from 1 species
GGUCUCUCCACUGCGGGGCAGGCCCCUCGUUCCAGAGGGUUGCUGCAGACACAGCUUCCUCCCACAACCGAUUUAAGCAGAAGGACGUUCCUUCAGGUGCUACCGGCCAGUUGGCAGAAUUGCUGGGGCUUCAGGCUGGAGAAUCUCAGUGAGGAUGAAGGUCAGCUUCACACCGCAGAACAGGUGAGGUGUGGAUGGCACGCCCUGCACGACCACCCUGCCAGCCCUGCACACAAGGGCCUGCAGCCUGCUGCCCCUAAGAGCCCGGUCAGGAGCACUGUGGUCACCACCUGGGCACAGGCUCCUAGCCCACAGACAGACCCUGGCGGUCCCUGCUUCCUUAUCGCACCAGAUGCUAAGUUCAAGCCUGAGGCAGGGGCGCCUGGAGAGCCCAACUCAUCUGGGCUCUCCGCGGAUUUCCUGCUUUUAGCACUGAAACACCCCUGUCCCAGAAACCCUUCCAGCAGGGACAAGCCAGGAUGGCUGCUUUGCUCACUUCUUGGAGCUGCCAGAACAAAUGACCACAAACAGGGAGCUUGAAGCCACAGGAAUUCAUUCUCUCCCUUUCGGAGGCCCUGGGGGAAUCCUUCCUGCCUCCGCCGGCUCCUCCUGGCACCGCCUCACCCUCCGUGCCAUCCUCACUUGACUCCUCACCAACAGCACUCCUCCCCUUUGUCCCUCACAGACUCCCCGCCUCCCGCUCCUCCCAGGUGUGAGUCAUCGCCUCGUCCCCUCCCAGUCUCAUGCAUCGCACCCAUCCCCAUCGUCCGCCAUCGCCUCACCUCCUGGCGCUCCUUCCGCAGCGUCCCUCACAGAUUCCCUGCCUCGCGUUCGUCCCCAUCGACCCUCACAGCAUCGAAUUCGUCCCCAUCGACCCCAUCGCCUCAUCUCCUCACCGCCUUGAGCUCCUUCCGCGUCGCCCCCCACAGACUCCCCGCCUCCCGCUCCUCGCCAGCUUGACUCAUCGCCUCACAGCCUCAUAGCUUUGCAGGCGUCCCCAUCCGUCCUAACACCAACGCCCUCGUCCCCAUCGUCCCUCACCGCAUCGAACUCAGCCCCGUCUUCCCUCAAGGCAACGCAGGCGUCUCCGUCCUCCCUCAUCACAUCGCACUCGUCUCCCUCGUCCCUCCUCGCCUCACCGCCUCAUCGCAUCGCAGGCCUCCCCAUCGUCCACCACAUUGCAAUCGUCGCCAUCGUCCCUCGUCUCACCUCCUCAUCGCAUCGCAGCCGUCCCCAUCGUCCUUCACCGCAUCUCACUC